rnacentral:rRNA from 1 species
CGGCGAGUGAAGCGGGAAGAGCUCAAAUUUGUAAUCUGGCGGCCUUUGGCCGUCCGAGUUGUAGUCUCGAGAAGCGUUUUCUGCGUCGGACCGUGUACAAGUCCCUUGGAACAGGGCGUCGUAGAGGGUGAGAAUCCCGUCUUUGACACGGACUGCCGGUGCUUUGUGAUGCGCUCUCAAAGAGUCGAGUUGUUUGGGAAUGCAGCUCAAAACGGGUGGUAAAUUCCAUCUAAAGCUAAAUAUUGGCGAAAGACCGAUAGCGAACAAGUACCGUGAGGGAAAGAUGAAAAGCACUUUGGAAAGAGAGUUAAACAGUACGUGAAAUUGCUGAAAGGGAAACGCUUGAAGUCAGUCGCGUCUCCCGGGACUCAGCCGUGCCUCUCGCGCGGUGUACUUCCUGGGGUGUGACGGGCCAGCAUUGGUUUUGACCGUCGGAAAAAGGCUUUGGGAAUGUGGCACCUCCGGGUGUGUUUAUAGCCCUGGGUCGCAUGCGACGGUUGGGAUCAAGGACCGCAGCACGCCUUUAUGGCCGGGGUUCGCCCACGUUAACGUGCUUAGGAUGCUUGGCGUAAUGGCUUUAAGCGACCCGUCUUGAAACACGGACCAAGGAGUCCAACAUGCCUGCAAGUGUUUGGGUGGAAAACCCGGACGCGUAAUGAAAGUGAAAGGUUGGGACCUCUGUCGUGGAGGGCACCGACGCCCGGACCAGACCUUUUGUGACGGUUCCGAGGUAGAGCAUGCAUGCUGGGACCCGAAAGAUGGUGAACUAUGCCUGAGUAGGGCGAAGCCAGAGGAAACUCUGGUGGAGGCUCGUAGCGAUUCUGACGUGGCAAUCGAUCGUCGAACUUGGGUAUAGGGGCGAAAGACUAAUCGA